rnacentral:rRNA from 1 species
GAUGAACGCUGACAGAAUGCUUAACACAUGCAAGUCAACUUGAAUUUGGGUUUUUAACUUAGGUUUGGGUGGCGGACGGGUGAGUAACGCGUAAAGAACUUGCCUCACAGCUAGGGACAACAUUUGGAAACGAAUGCUAAUACCUAAUAUUAUGAUAAUAGGGCAUCCUAUAAUUAUGAAAGCUAUAAGCGCUGUGAGAGAGCUUUGCGUCCCAUUAGCUAGUUGGAGAGGUAACGGCUCACCAAGGCGAUGAUGGGUAGCCGGCCUGAGAGGGUGAUCGGCUACAAGGGGACUGAGACACGGCCCUUACUCCUACGGGAGGCAACAGUGGGGAAUAUUGGACAAUGGACCGAGAGUCUGAUCCAGCAAUUCUGUGUGCACGAUGAAGUUUUUCGGAAUGUAAAGUGCUUUCAGUUGGGAAGAAACAAAUGACGGUACCAACAGAAGAAGUGACGGCUAAAUACGUG